rnacentral:rRNA from 1 species
UUUAUGGAGAGUUUGAUCCUGGCUCAGGAUGAACGCUGGCGGCGUGCCUAAUACAUGCAAGUCGAGCGAACAGAUAAGGAGCUUGCUCCUUUGACGUUAGCGGCGGACGGGUGAGUAACACGUGGGUAACCUACCUAUAAGACUGGGAUAACUUCGGGAAACCGGAGCUAAUACCGGAUAAUAUUUCGAACCGCAUGGUUCGAUAGUGAAAGAUGGUUUUGCUAUCACUUAUAGAUGGACCCGCGCCGUAUUAGCUAGUUGGUAAGGUAACGGCUUACCAAGGCGACGAUACGUAGCCGACCUGAGAGGGUGAUCGGCCACACUGGAA